ACGGAGCCUAUUUUAUGGUAAAGUAUGCCCAACCUAUGGUUUCCAUGUACAUAUGUCCUAAACAAAGCAAAACAAGUAAAAAAGUCCAUUGGUAAACCCUCGCACGGAGAAAGCUAUAGGGGUAGAUCUGCGGGGUCCCCGCCCUAGGGUUUUCCAAGAUACAGACCACCGGAGCGUCGGAAUCGCUGGAAAACUUGUGUGUGUCCACAUGGAAUGCACAAAAGUGAUUUGAGAUGGUUCUAUAUCCAAGGCUACCCCCCAGGUGUGUCCGGCUUCUCGGACAGGGGGUUCCUACACUUGGGCAGAUUCUGCAUGUAUAGGGGGGAACUCCCUCGUACGUGAACCGGAGAGAAACUUGAUAUCAUAUGGGAUGAUUUUUGUUUCCACAUGUACCUAUGACCUAACCAAGCUCAAAUGGAGGCAUAUGCCCACCGGGGGACCCCCGAUGGGAUGCAGUCAAAGGGGUAGACCGCGCGGUCAACAGAACUAGGGUUUCGUCGGAAAUCGAGCGUCGGAUCUAGGGAAUGGCCCCAAAACUUGUGUGUGUCCACAUGGAAUGCACAAAAGUGAUUUGAGAUGGUUCUAUAUCCAAGGCUACCCCCCAGGUGUGUCCGGCUUCUCGGACAGGGGGUUCCUACACUUGGGCAGAUUCUGCAUGUAUAGGGGGGAACUCCCUCGUACGUGAACCGGAGAGAAACUUGAUAUCAUAUGGGAUGAUUUUUGUUUCCACAUGUACCUAUGACCUAACCAAGCUCAAAUGGAGGCAUAUGCCCACCGGGGGACCCCCGAUGGGAUGCAGUCAAAGGGGUAGACCGCGCGGUCAACAGAACUAGGGUUUCGUCAGAAAUCGAGCGUCGGAUCUAGGGAAUGGCCCCCAGAACUUGUGUGUGUCCACAUGGCAUGCACAAAAUUGAUUUGAGAUGGUUUUAUAUCCAAGGCUACCCCCCAGGUGUGUCCGGCUUCUCGGACAGGGGGUUCCUACACUUGGGCAGAUUCUGCAUGUAUAGGGGGAACUCCCUCGUACGUGAACCGGAGAGAAACUUGAUAUCAUAUGGGAUGAUUUUUGUUUCCACAUGUACCUAUGACCUAACCAAGCUCAAAUGGAGGCAUAUGCCCACCGGGGGACCCCCGAUGGGAUGCAGUCAAAGGGGUAGACCGCGCGGUCAACAGAACUAGGGUUUCGUCAGAAAUCGAGCGUCGGAUCUAGGGAAUGGCCCCAGAACUUGUGUGUGUCCACAUGGAAUGCACAAAAGUGAUUUGAGAUGGUUCUAUAUCCAAGGCUACCCCCCAGGUGUGUCCGGCUUCUCGGACAGGGGGUUCCUACACUUGGGCAGAUUCUGCAUAUAUAGGGGGAACUCCCUCGUACGUGAACCGGAGAGAAACUUGAUAUCAUAUGGGAUGAUUUUUGUUUCCACAUGUACCUAUGACCUAACCAAGCUCAAAUGGAGGCAU